rnacentral:tRNA from 1 species
UGGCUCAGACGGUAAAGCGUCUGCCUGCAGUGCGGGAGACCCGGGUUCGAUACCCGG